rnacentral:lncRNA from 1 species
AAACACUCGAGCAAUGGCUUUGCGAGACCUAUCUUUUGAAGUAGUUUUUAUUGAAACGAUUCUGCUACCAGAUAGUCUUACAUAUACUCAACGUUGUUGGGAUCGUUGUGAAAUUAAUUUUGGUUGCAGAAAAUUGCCAGGUUGUGGGCAUUGUCGACGGCAGAGUUCUAAAUCGCCGUUUAAGAGAUGCUUGACUCCACGUUGACCGAUUUGAAUCUCAUAUAUUAUUAAAGUUUUUAGUUUUAUUGCAUUUUUACUCUAAUUUCCUGCUCCUUCUCCUUUUGAUCUUUGUGUUACUUGUAAGAUAUAAAGUACGCAGGGGCUAUGCACUACUUUUUGUAAGUGAUGUCGUAUUUUGAUAAUCGGCAUAAAGUAGGUAUAUUUUAAUAUAUAUCGUCUCGCAUUUUAUUCUUGUUUCAAUGAUUUGAGAUAUUUAAUAUGAUGAUCUAUGUUAAAUUAUAAUGUUUCUAAGUGUAGGAAUCCUUCGGAUGCAAUUUGCGAUUAAAGGAUGCAAAUGGGAGCAAAAUGGAGCAACAAGGCAAAAUGUCAAUUUUGAGGGUCACAACCAGCGUGGGGUACGGAUGUUCAAAAUCGAACCGAACAGAACCGAAGCUUAAUGGCUUACUAGUAAAGGCUUAACGGACAGAAAAAGGAUGAAAUUUUUUUUUAUUAAUG